CGGUAAUGGGUUCAUACAACCCAGCUACAUCCAGAUUCAGCUAAAGAAAAUUCAUCUUUUACUGCAACUGAGCAUGACACAGCAUGGAUCAAUCUUCCUUGUAUCAACGGUUCAGGCUGGUGGUGGUGAAGUUCAGAGGAGAAUCGGCAUAUGGGUUUGAGUUUAUAGAAAGGCAACAACAGCUCAAAUAACCACUCGUUACUACCAAGGUAUGCAGAGUAGCAUCUUGAAGCAGAGCGCACAGUUCCGCUGACACUGCAGCUUCUGCAUGGGGUGCAGGAGGAACAGUGACCCGAUCCAGAGGCUGUGGAAUCAGGGGAACUGGAGGAAAACCACAAUGGAGCAUUUUCAGCCAUGGACUUUGAGGGAAAUUGUCCGUUCCUAACAGCGGAUCUUCCUGUGGGCUUAGUGACAACCAUAGCUGGCCUGGCACUGCCUGUUUUCCCGUGUAGCGAGCAGAUGCCCUCUGCUCUGGCCGCACACAGGUCGUUGUGCUGCAUCAUUAUAAAUGAUCCAGCUGCUGAUGUUUUUUUCUUCUGUUAUGUUCUGCUCCUGCUUUUCUGGACUGUUAGUUUGUAAGGCUGGGUCGUCACUGUUCACAGCAGCAAGUUUGUCAUCUCAGCGUCCGGCCUGAUGAGAUUAUUUAUCCCCCUGUUCAGGCCUCUGAAUGCGUAUUGACGCAUGCCGAAGGCCGAGUUUGAAGUUGUUUUGCGAGCAGAUGUUUUAUGUUUGUGGUCCGGAUGGAUCCAGUGAAGCAAAUACUACACUUUGCUUCAGCUUUAACCCACUAGUGACAGCCUUAAAGGGUUAAAAAUAGAAUGGGGUUCUAUUUCGUUACAUACUGUAACCCCAGAUACUACGAGAAUAGGCACAGCCCUUUAAGGUCUGGGCUUCACAGGUUGCUAAAGGCAGAAGAAAAACACUAUUUGGGAACCAUUUGUCCAGUCUCAACAUCAUUUAUCCUCAGUGAGACUGGGGUGAGCCCCACUCAGCAGGUAGCAGGAAGAAUAAAUAUAGUGGUCAAAAUAAAUAAACUGAUGUAAAGGCCAAUUUUUAGAGGGAACAGGAGGAAAAAUGGUUCUAGGUUAAAGCUCUCACUGUUUCAAGACCCUAAAAACGCCACUUAGGUACGCAUCAACAUUACCCUGUGACAAAACUGAGUACAUGCACCAAAAUUCAAGUACAAGGCGACUCAACCUCUUACUGGUGGGAGUGUGGAACUCUGCCGCAAGUGAUACACAGCCAUUGUUAAGUAUAGUGGUGGCUCUGUGAUGGUGUGGGCCUGUUUAUCUUCUGUUAUAGUGCCUGACAUGACAAACUCUUUCAAAUAAUAAAGGUUCAAUAAAAAUCCAGAGCUCCACUGCCAAGAAUUUUUUUUAAUGGGUUGUCAUAUAGUUUUCUUGCAUAUUUGGCUGAAUCCAAACAGAGAUG